GACGAACGCUGGCGGCGUGCUUAACACAUGCAAGUCGAACGGAAAGGCCCUGCUUUUGUGGGGUGCUCGAGUGGCGAACGGGUGAGUAACACGUGAGUAACCUGCCCUUGACUUUGGGAUAACUUCAGGAAACUGGGGCUAAUACCGGAUAGGAGCUCCUGCUGCAUGGUGGGGGUUGGACAGUUUCGGCGGUUGGGGAUGGACUCGCGGCUUAUCAGCUUGUUGGUGGGGUAGUGGCUUACCAAGGCUUUGACGGGUAGCCGGCCUGAGAGGGUGACCGGCCACAUUGGGACUGAGAUACGGCCCAGACCCCUACGGGAGGCAGAAGUGGGGAAUAUUGCACAAUGGGCGGAAGCCUGAUGCAGCAACGCCGCGUGCGGGAUGACGGCCUUCGGGUUGUAAACCGCUUUCGCCUGUGACGAAGCGUGAGUGACGGUAAUGGGUAAAGAAGCGCCGGCUAACUACGUG
rnacentral:rRNA from 1 species